CAGCCGCCGCGGUAAUACGAAGGGUGCAAGCGUUACUCGGAAUUACUGGGCGUAAAGCGUACGUAGGUGGUGGUUUAAGUCCGUUGUGAAAGCCCUGGGCUCAACCUGGGAAUUGCAGUGGAUACUGGGUCACUAGAGUGUGGUAGAGGAUAGUGGAAUUUCCGGUGUAGCAGUGAAAUGCGUAGAGAUCGGAAGGAACAUCUGUGGCGAAGGCGACUAUCUGGGCCAACACUGACACUGAGGCACGAAAGCGUGGGGAGCAAACAGGAUUAGAUACCCCGGUAGUCCCUGUCUCUUAUAC
rnacentral:rRNA from 1 species